rnacentral:tRNA from 2 species
GGAGGGGUGGCAGAGUGGUUGAAUGCGGCGGUCUUGAAAACCGUUAGGGCGGUGACGCUCUCGGGGGUUCAAAUCCCCCCCCCUCCGCCA